rnacentral:rRNA from 1 species
CCUACGGGUGGCAGCAGUAGGGAAUAUUGCUCAAUGGGGGAAACCCUGAAGCAGCAACGCCGCGUGGAGGAUGAAGGUUUUAGGAGUGGAAACGCCUUUUGUUAGAGAAGAGGAUGACGGUAGCUAACGAAUAAGCACCGGCGAACUCCGUGCCAGCAGCCGCGGUAAUACGGAGGGUGCAAGCGUUCCUCGGAAUCACUGGGCGUAAAGAGUGCGUAGGCGGGGUAAUAAGGAAGAUGUGAAAUCCUGUAGCUUAACUACAGAACUGCCUUUGAAACUGUUACUCUGGAGGGUGGGAGAGGUCGGUGUACUUCUUUGUGUAGCGGUCUCCUCCGU